GUUUUUGCUGGACACCUCUUCUAGACUGCAGAAAGCCCCAGAGUUUGAUCCUGGCUCAGGCUGGAACACCUGCUUCUAGGACUGCACAAAAGCCCAAUAAGCUUGCAGCCUGUCUCACGGUACGUGCACAUGCUUCGACACAGCCCAAUUAUUACCUAUGAUGCGACCUACUACAAUAACACGUGGACCGUGCACUGACUCUCCCUAUUAGAUGAUCUUUAUAGUGUGGAUUAUACUAGUAUGGCUGGGGUAAAGGCCUACCAUGGCGACGAUCUGUAGCUGGUCUGAGAGGAUGAUCAGCCACACCGGGACUGAGACACGGCCCGGACUCCUACGGGAGGCAGCAGUGGGGAAUAUUGGACAAUGGGGGAAACCCUGAUCCAGCCAUGCCGCGUGUGUGAAGAAGGCCUUUUGGUUGUAAAGCACUUUAAGCAGUGAAGAAGACUCCGUGGUUAAUACCCACGGACGAUGACAUUAGCUGCAGAAUAAGCACCGGCUAACUCUGUGCCAGCAGCCGCGGUAAUACAGAGGGUGCAAGCGUUAAUCGGAAUUACUGGGCGUAAAGGGAGCGUAGGUGGCUAAUAAGUCAGAUGUGAAAUCCCCGGGCUCAACCUGGGAACUGCAUCUGAUACUGUUGAC
rnacentral:rRNA from 1 species